CAAUUUUGUUUUUUUUUUUUUUUAAUUAUUAUUAGGGCCAAUAGAAUAAACCAGAGGCAACCCAAUAGUUACUGAUAAUAUUACGGAGUUUCUUCCCCCAUUUUUUUUUUUUUUUUGAAAUUUUAGGUUUUGAGCUGCGUAAUUCUUCCCCCGAAUUAAACUAUUUGAAAUUUUAGGUUUUGAGUUAAUCGGAUAUGGAGUAUUUGUAUUUCCCCCAAUUUUUUUGAAAUAUUAGGUUUUGAGUUGCGUAAUUCUUCCCCCAAAUUAAACUAUUUGAAAUUUUAGGUUUUGAGUUCAUCGGAUAUGGAGUAUUUGUAUUUCCCCCAAAUUAUUGAAAUUUUAGGGUUUGAGUUUAUUGGAUAUGGAGUAUUUGUAUUUGUAUUUCCCCCACACCAUAGAAAUUUUAGGUUUGAAUGGAGUUCUAGGUAUAGAUUAAAGAGGGUGGGUUUUCAGUUAUUUCCUUCCUAAAUUUGAUCAAUUGAGCUGUUUGAAGUUCAGAUUAUGUCUUCACCUAGGCCAAGUCUCGGUUUCGGUUACUACCUGUGCGAUAGGAUAUCGAUCGAGAUGCCAAAAGUCCCUUUAAACGUCAACGUCGAAGGAACUGCUACCUAGCCUAGCCGUUGGUUUCGGAAAGUCAACAGAAAACUCUACUUUCUCAGCAUUCAAGAAACGGGAUCGGGUAUUCUCAAGCACACUGUUCUUACUUCAGAUUCAAGAAACGGGAUCCUCAAGUAGACCGUUCUUCAUUCAGGGAUAAAACAAAAAGAUUUGUUUGGGAAACGGGUCAAACACAAAUCCACCAUUUCCGAUAUUGUUUUCCAAUCAUCUGAAUUGAGUUGUUGCAACCGGGGCAUUCAUUAUUCCAGUAUCUAUUUAUUUUACUCUCAAGGUUGUUCUCUCAACAGAAAACUCUACUUUCUUAGCGUUCAAGAAACGUGAUCGGGAAUUCUCAAGCACAGUGUUGUUAGUUCAGAUGGACGACAGUGCUUUCCAUGUUUCACCAUCGUCGUCGUCGCCUGCAGCUGAUCCGUCGGAUGUCGAGUACCUAGAUAUUCAAGCUGCAUCAGAAUCCUCCGGAAACAAUUCUGGAUCACAGGGUAGUGUUGAUUCGCUAGAAGUUGGAAUGGGGUCCCCGAUGUCAGUGGGCUCUAUUCCCUCUUACCAUGGGACCCCAGAUCAUAUUCAUGAUGGCCCAAACUUCCCUCCAGCGAACCCGGUUGAAGCCGAUGGGUUCAAUUGGACGCGUUUUCUGAAGCUGAUAGGCGCCAUCGUUGUAGUUUGCGCAUUUGUUCUUCUGAUCGCAUUGAUCUUCACAAAGACCAGAAAGAAGGAAGAUUUAAUGCCAAGAACCGAUGAAGAUUGCAUGAUCAGGAUAUCCGUUUCGAAGAACGGGAAGUCCGACUAUCGGACGAUUUCUGAAGCGGUGGACGCAUCCCCGAGCCACAGUCCGUUCAGGAUUUGCAUACUCAUUGCGGCGGGCGAGUACGACGAGAAGGUGGUCGUCGGACGAUUCAAGAGCAAUUUGACCUUAAUUGGAGAAGGAAGUCAAAAGACCACAAUCACCUCAAAUUCAACGCUGCCGUUGAAGGUUAUUGGCGUCACCGCAACUUUAUCGAUCUCCGGGACAGCGUUUAUGGCUCGAGACUUGACCGUGUUGAAUAGCGCACAACACGGUGUUGCUGUCGAGAGUUGGAGCGACUACUCGGUCUUCUUCAGGGUCAUAUUGAAGGGAGUUAACACGACAUUGAUUGCGGGGGGAGGGAACCAGUUUUACCGCAGUUGUCUGUUUUACGGUAAAAGCUAUCUAGUAGUAGGAAAUGCGGAUUCUUUUUUUCAGAAAUGCGACUUUUAUAGCGAGAUAUCACAUUCCGACGAAACCGCUGUUUUCUUGGGCCAAUCUCGCAACUCCUUGAAUUUCCAAACUGGUUUUUUGAUCCACCAAUGUGGAUUCUACGCCCCCGGUGUCCCCACAGAUCACUCGAAGGUGUUUUUAGGUAGUGCUUUGGGAGAUUAUGCACUCAUUGUAGUGAUGCAGUCGUACUUAGAUGCACCAGUAGCGAGGUACUUCGAAAACACGCCUCCGUUGAUUGAUAGUUCCUUUGUCACUUUCGGCAAUAGUGGACGUGGUUCGACCAUCGAAAGGGAAUCAUCAGUCGUACAUCCACUAGGUCUCGAGGCAGCCGAGGCUAGAUAUUCUCUUAGAACUUUCAUAGGCGGAAUUGAUUGGAUACCAGAUGAUGUAGAUCAUGAUAUGGAUUUGGCUCGGUGAUGUAGUUCCUUUGUCACAAAGCAAGGAUAACUUAUAAUAAGGGCUCUGAUUUUUGAUCAAGAUAGAGGAAAUUAAUUUAGAGUUGAGAACCUUGGAUUGUUACCAUUUUUCGUUGCGAAGCAUCUUCGACAUAUGCUAGUGAACGAUUUAUUGAUUCGAACUGUAGUGUUUGCUAAAGAUUAGCCAAUAAUUUGCUAAAAGAGGGACAGCUGGCGGCUUUGCUCUCUUGUUUGACGAGCUGAUGAAGUCGAAUACCAGCUCCACCUUCUAGAAUAAUUCCCAAUGCAUCCUCAGGUGUUUGGAUUUUCUGAUUCUUUAAUGGACUACACACGCCCACCAUACGUGAUGAAUUGGUGGAGCGGCAAAAAGUGGAUUCCCAGUGAAUAAAUUUUGAAGUUUCAUAAAUUCGAAUAUCAGCUCUCUUUGGAUUCAAAAGAUGGCUAUCUAAUUCUCAAUUCUCUACUUUUCUUCCCCCGUUAAAUUUCAAUGGCUGCCGCAGAUGUUGAAUCCCCCUCGAGCAGGACGUUUCUUCAAAAUUCUGAUCGAGCUACUAAGAAAUUCGAGACAAAAAUCGAGGGCGAAAGUAGUAUAUUAAAAAUGGGAUUUUGUCUCGAGGUAACUUAA